GUCGAGUGGCGGACGGGUGAGUAAUACUUAGGAACAUGCCUUUGGGUGGGGGAUAACUAUUGGAAACGAUAGCUAAUACCGCAUAAUGUCUACGGACCAAAGGGGGCGCUUGCGCUCUCGCCCAAAGAGUGGCCUAAGCGAGAUUAGCUUGUUGGUGAGGUAAAGGCUCACCAAGGCAACGAUCUCUAGCUGUUCUGAGAGGAAGAUCAGCCACACUGGAACUGAGACACGGUCCAGACUCCUACGGGAGGCAGCAGUGGGGAAUAUUGCACAAUGGGGGCAACCCUGAUGCAGCCAUGCCGCGUGUGUGAAGAAGGCCUUCGGGUUGUAAAGCACUUUCAGUUGUGAGGAAAGAUUAGUAGUUAAUACCUGCUAGUUGUGACGUUAGCAACAGAAGAAGCACCGGCUAACUCCGUGCCAGCAGCCGCGGUAAUACGGAGGGUGCGAGCGUUAAUCGGAAUUACUGGGCGUAAAGCGCACGCAGGCGGUUUG
rnacentral:rRNA from 1 species